GGCUAGCUCAGUUGGUUAGAGCAUGGUGCUGAUGAUACCAUGGUCACAGGUUCAAUUCCUGUAUGGGACA
rnacentral:tRNA from 1 species